rnacentral:rRNA from 1 species
GACGGAGGAUGCAAGCGUUUAUCCGGAAUGAUUGGGCGUAAAGCGUCUGUAGGUGGCUUUUUAAGUCCGCCGUCAAAUCCCAGGGCUCAACCCUGGACAGGCGGUGGAAACUACCAAGCUGGAGUACGGUAGGGGCAGAGGGAAUUUCCGGUGGAGCGGUGAAAUGCGUAGAUAUUGGAAAGACCACCAAUGGCGAAGGCACUCUACUGGGCCAUUUACUGACACUGAGAGACGAAAAGCUAGGGGGAGCGAAUGGG